rnacentral:lncRNA from 1 species
GAAGGGGGGAUAGGAAGGGCAUCAGAAUAAAAUAGACACUAGUAUUGCUGUAUAUAUAUACAUGUCUGUAUAACCAAUGUGAUUCUGCAACCUGUACACUUGGAAAAAUGAGAAAUUAUACCCCAUUUGAUUUAAAAAAAAUGUAGUGCUGUUUUAGUCAGCUUUUUCACUGCUGUGACUAAAGGAUCUGACCAGAACAAUUUUAGGGGAGGAAAAGUUUCGGAGUUUUUAGUCCCUAUACAGCCAGCUCCAUUCUCAAGGGCUCCAGAUGAGGCCGAACAUCAUGGUGGUAGACUGGGGGCAGAGGGAAGCAGCUCACAUGGUGAUCAGGAAGCAGAGAGAGAGAGAGAGAUCUCCACUUGCUUAAUACAAAUAUGUACCUUAAAGCCAUGCCCCUAAAGCCCUGAUUCCUCUAGCCACACCCCAAAUGCUUUCAGUUACCACUGAAUUAAUCCCAUCAGGUGAUUAAUUCACUGAUUGGGUUAAGGAUCUCACACCCCAAUCAUUUCCACUCUGAGCCCUCUCACACUGUCUCACAUAUGAGCUUUUGGGGGACACCUCACAUCUAAACCAUAACAAGUGCUAAGAUCUGCAAUUUGUGUUCCACCCGCAAUUUAUAUAUGUUGAAUCCUAAUCUUCAAUGUGAGGAUAUUAGAAGGUGGGGAUCUGGUUAGGUUAUGAUGGUAGAGCCAUUAUAAAAGAGCUUCUAGAAAGUUGCUGACCCUUCCACCAUAUAAGGACCUAAUGAGAACUUGCUGUCUACAAGAAAGCCAGCUCUCACCAGACACUAAGUUUACUGGUGCCUUGAUCUGGAACUUCCCAGCAUCCAGAACUAUGAGCAGUAAGUAUUUUUUUGUUUAUUAGCCACUCAGCUUAUGGUAUUUUUGUUAUAAUAUCCCAUGGACUAAAGUAGGUGGUUUAGAGCCAAUCCAGUAUUGUAGAUAGCAGGUCCCAGUUUUUGCAGAGCAGGCAAAACCUCCAGUAGAGCAAUUAUAUGACAAUCCUACAAAUCUAGUUGGGUCUCUAUAAUCUGGAUAGCCUUUUGAAUACUAAAAUUGGUAUAGCCUCUUGUCCAGCUUUGAGGAAUCCAAAGUUGAAAAAAAAGACUUAAUUUA